CUCUCUCUCUGUAGAAAAACACUUUUUUUUUCGUUUUUCUCUUCCACCUAAGCUCCAAAUCCUGCAAUAAUGACGUCGCACGAGAAAGGACAAUCAUUGCCCAAAUUUGGCGAGUGGGAUGUGAAUAAUCCGGCUUCGGCAGAUGGAUUUACGGUUAUCUUUGCAAAGGCGAGGGACGAGAAAGCCAAAGGCUCAGCGGGAGGAUCCGAGCAGUCGGGCCGCACUGACAGUAGUGCCCACCAUGACUUCCCGGAUGCUCCCCGCAAGAUGGCUUGGCUUUGUUGUUUCUGAGACGUGAAUUGCAUUUGGAGCUGUGGAAAAUGAAAUUGGAAAUAUGCAAUUGAUGAGAAAUACACACACGUAUAUAUAUAAUGUUCAAAUUCUGUUUGAACGACUAUUUUUAAUUUCAAUUUUUUUUUUACUUUGUUUUGUAAAUGCAUAUAUGUGUAACAAUUACUCGAUUCAUCUGCAGAUUUCCAAAUUUA